AAGAUUUUAAGUUAUAAAAUAAACUCUAAACCUUCAAAGUUUAAUAAAUAAUUUUUUUAUAAAUCUUA
rnacentral:tRNA from 1 species